rnacentral:rRNA from 1 species
UACGUAGGGUGCGAGCGUUGUCCGGAAUUAUUGGGCGUAAAGAGCUUGUAGGCGGUUUGUCGCGUCUGCCGUGAAAAUUCGAGGCUCAACCUCGAACUUGCGGUGGGUACGGGCAGACUAGAGUGCGGUAGGGGAGAUUGGAAUUCCUGGUGUAGCGGUGGAAUGCGCAGAUAUCAGGAGGAACACCAAUGGCGAAGGCAGAUCUCUGGGCCGUAACUGACGCUGAGGAGCGAAAGCAUGGGGAGCGAACAGG